rnacentral:snRNA from 1 species
AUAGUUACCUGGUGCCGGGGCCUCGUUGAUCACCGAGGAUGAGCCCCCAGGGUGAGGCGCGGGCAUUGCACUGCAGUCGCGUUGACCCCUGGUACCACCCCAAACUGGGACAGAAGGGGCGGGCCAAUUGCUUAAAUCCGGUUCAACACAAGAGCGCGUGCCACCGCC